rnacentral:lncRNA from 1 species
GCGACCCAGUUUAUUUCCGCGCAUCAUAAUUUCAUGUUGCAUCGAUGGUGACUGAGAAGUUGAUCCAGUUUCAAAUGGCCGCGGAUAAGAAUAACGCUCGCUCCGGUUUCGUGCGUCCACGGCGUUGGGAACUGCGGAGCGGAGGUGGGCAUUUAUUUCCGGCCGCCGGAGCGCCGCUCAUCGGGAUCCGCCGGGGCGACGUCCCCCGUGAUUUUCUGAAGUCGGGUUUGCCAACGGCAGUGGAGCAGCGCCGCCGCGUGCCGGAGAUGGGGGAGACCCUCGGGGCACGCAAGGUGGGUGUGGUAAGGCGGAAUGCCUCGGCGGAAGGUUAGGAAGCCAUCCGUCUCUCCAACUGCAGGUUUCUGCAUUCCCGACGCGACGGGCCGGGG